GUCCACGCCCUAACGAUGUCAACUAGCUGUUGGGCCGUUAGGCCUUAGUAGCGCAGCUAACGCGUGAAGUUGACCGCCUGGGGAGUACGGUCGCAAGAUUAAACUCAAAGGAAUUGACGGGACCCGCACAAGCGGUGGAUGAUGUGGAUUAAUUCGAUGCAACGCGAAACCUUACCUACCCUUGACAUGUCUGGAAUCCCGAAGAGAUUUGGGAGUGCUCGCAAGAGAACCGGAACACAGGUGCUGCAUGGCUGUCGU
rnacentral:rRNA from 1 species